rnacentral:rRNA from 1 species
AUUGAACGCUGGCGGCAGGCCUAACACAUGCAAGUCGAGCGGAUGAAGGGAGCUUGCUCCUGGAUUCAGCGGCGGACGGGUGAGUAAUGCCUAGGAAUCUGCCUGGUAGUGGGGGAUAACGUCCGGAAACGGGCGCUAAUACCGCAUACGUCCUGCGGGAGAAAGUGGGGGAUCUUCGGACCUCACGCUAUCAGAUGAGCCUAGGUCGGAUUAGCUAGUUGGUGGGGUAAAGGCCUACCAAGGCGACGAUCCGUAACUGGUCUGAGAGGAUGAUCAGUCACACGGGAACUGAGACACGGUCCAGACUCCUACGGGAGGCAGCAGUGGGGAAUAUUGGACAAUGGGCGAAAGCCUGAUCCAGCCAUGCCGAGUGUGUGAAGAAGGUCUUCGGAUUGUAAAGCACUUUAAGUUGGGAGGAAGGGCAGUAAGUUAAUACCUUGCUGUUUUGACGUUACCAACAGAAUAAGCACCGGCUAACUUCGUG